rnacentral:rRNA from 1 species
GAUGAACGCUGGCGGCGUGCCUAAUACAUGCAAGUCGAGCGAACGGACGAGAAGCUUGCUUCUCUGAUGUUAGCGGCGGACGGGUGAGUAACACGUGGCUAACCUACCUAUAAGACUGGGAUAACUUCGGGAAACCGGAGCUACUACCGGAUAAUAUUUUGAACCGCAUGGUUCAAAAGUGAUAGACGGUCUUGCUGUCACUUAUAGAUGGAUCCGCGCUGCAUUAGCUAGUUGGUAAGGUAACGGCUUACCAAGGCAACGAUGCAUAGCCGACCUGAGAGGGGGAUCGGCCACACUGGAACUGAGACACGGUCCAGACUCCUACGGGAGGCAGCAGUAGGGAAUCUUCCGCAAUGGGCGAAAGCCUGACGGAGCAACGCCGCGUGAGUGAUGAAGGUCUUCGGAUCGUAAAACUCUGUUAUUAGGGAAGAACAUAUGUGUAAGUAACUGUGCACAUCUUGACGGUACCUAAUCAGAAAGCCACGGCUAACUACGUG